rnacentral:rRNA from 1 species
GAUGAACGCUGGCGGCGUGCCUAAUACAUGCAAGUCGAGCGAACGUACGAGAAUCUUGCUUCUUUGAUGUUAGCGGCGGACGUGAGAGUAACACGUGGAUAACCUACCUAUAAGACUGGGAUAACUUCGGGAAACCAGAGCUAAUACCGGAUAAUAUUUUGAACGGCAUGGGUGAAAAGUGAAAGACGGUCUUGCUGUCACUUAUAGAUGGAUCCGCGCUGCAUUAGCUAGUUGGUAAGGUAACGGCUUACCAAGGCAACGAUGCAUAGCCGACCUGAGAGGGAGCUCGGCCACACUGGAACUGAGACACGGUCCAGACUCCUACGGGAGGCAGCAGUAGCGAAUCUUCCGCAAUGGGCGAAAGCCUGACGGAGCACCGCCGCGUGAGUGAUGAGGGUCUUCGGAUCGUAAAACUCUGUUAUUAGGGAAGAACAUAUGUGUAAGUAACUGCGCACAUCUUGACGGUACCUAAUCAGAAAGCCACGGCUAACUACGUG